AUCUUGAUGGCACCCUAUCGCUAACUGUAAAUAGGUAAGUGCUUGGGAUAUUCAGAUCAUCCAAAUCCCUUUUUUCUUACCACUUCUCCCAAUUGUCUAAUUGUCUCCUUCCUUUUUUUGUUAGGACAACUCCUAAAAUAGUAAGGACAAGUCCAAUCUUAGGACAAGGGCCUAGGAAGAGGAUUAAGGAAGACAAGGAGAAAAGAAAGCAAGGGAAAGAGAAGGCUAGGAGAAAGGAAGGAAGCCCUGAGGUUUUGCUAUCCAGAAAAGAUUUUGGAGAAAGAAAUCAGAGGAAGGAACCAAUUAGAAAGGAGAGAGUGUCUUGAUCAAAGCCCUGUGUGGAUCACUGUUGGAGGGCGAACACUUGGAUGCCUGAUGGAAGUUCUACCGAAAUUUGGAUAUAAUGCUGCAAGUAUUUUUCUAUACCUUCAAUUAUGUUAUGAAAAUAUUUUAUAUAACUAUUAAUCAUCAAGAAGGUCCU
rnacentral:lncRNA from 1 species